ACCUCUCUUGCAUCACUGUUAUUUUCAUUUCGUCCUUUACCUGUCUCUCUUGAAGCUUCUCAAGCUGGAUCUGGCAUUACUGGCGUACCCGAACAUCAACCAUUGUCUCUUUUUUAUUUCCUGCACUUUCACUCACAUAUGCACUUUCUCUUUACGUAGUUUCUUUUGUCAAAUUUAUUUGCAGGUUGCAAUUUUUUCAACCUUAGGGUUUCGAAUUUGGGGCUUGUGCAGCAACCUAUCAAAUUUGUUUCCCUCGUUACAAAAUUGGAGUUUAUCUUGACACGCAUGCAGACUUUCCAUGACGAGUUCAGUCACUGUGAUUUGAAUUUAGAUUCGAACAGUGUAUGAUGUGAGUUUGAGUGAUGAGAGCUGACCUCAAGAUCUCUUUGAUUUCGUCAGCGGCAAACGCUUUCAAGUCAUGGGAAAGGCUUGAUGUGCAAGUGCCAACUGUUUAAUAUGACUCUUGCUGCUUUGUAUGGUUUCUACUUUCCAUUUCUUCUGUUUAUUAUUUACUAAUUCUGCAUACCGGUUUCCAGAGGUGGAAUUAUAUCCCACUCUUUUGAAUUGGAAGCCAAGACGAAAGGACUGUUUAGUGGUGCAACAGCUGUUAUUACAUUUCGCUUUCCCUCAAAGGCUGCUCUGCAGGAGAGUGUUGAUGCUUUUAUCAACUGUGUUGUGAAAAACAGAGGAUUCAGCUAGGGAAAGCACGCUGCCUGUUUGAUCAGAAUGUGGAAGGACCAGUCACAUAUACAAUUGUUAUACUUUCGAUGAGAAUACUCCACUUGUUGAUGAUCCAGAGUACAUCUCUGCAUUGGGUGAAACAAUAUUCAAGGGGCUGCAAAGCGGAGAUAAGGAUGGGGUCUGGCUAAUGCAGGUAAAAGGAAGGAUUUAAUUGAGUCUUACUAUUUAACUCUGAGUAUCUCUUUAAGAGAAUGUAGCUAGUUACAUUGACAUCCCAUUUGUAAACAGUAACCAUGCCUGAUUAUUUAUGUUUCUCUAGAUAUUAGGACACGAUACUUGCGCCAUUUUCAUUUUAGUGCAAGUAGCAUGCAUACUAUGGAAUAGUUUUUAUACCCUCAUAUAUUGUUUAUGCAUUAGUGCCUAAGCAUGCAUACUCUGUGAAAUCAUAGUGAUUAUUUCUAGCCAAGUAAGCUGACUUGCCCCUUUGCUGCUUGCAAGAGAGAGAUCUUUUUGUAGUUCAGUGAUGGACCAAAAGAGAUGAUAUAUUGUUCUUAUUUCAGAUGAAAGAAGAGUGAAAGGAGUCUCUUGUAGAGUUGUUUACAA